UUCUAGUAGUUUCAAUUUUUUUUUCAAGUGUGACUUUGUUGUGAAAAAUAUAUUGUGAUUAUCCGUACUUUGGAGAAAAUUGCUGAGUAUGACUAUGAUGCAGAAAAAUUUCUGUAUUCCAUUUCUAAGUGUAACUUCUUUGUCAGUCUGGUAUGUGCAGAGUCAAUCCUGCAACUCGCAAAGUCUCUUCAUUUGUUCCUGCAACGUGAGAAUGUCGACUUGAUUCAAGCAUGUGAAGAAGGAAAUGUUGUGGUUGACCUAUGUGGUGGUCACCGGAAUACAUCACUAUUUAUGUACCAGUAUUAACUGUUGUAAAACACACUGUUUAGAUGUUUUAAAUAAACUAAUUCUAACUAUUUGUGUAGUUGCUUUGAAGGUAAUUUACUGGUGUUUUUCUGAUUUCUAUUGUAUUUCAUAGGCUGAAGAGUAUACACCACAGGCAAACAGCUUUUAUUUUGUGUGUGCUGGGGACGGGGGUGCGGUGGGCAACAUCUUAGCAGCAGGGUUGCCAACUGUUUUUACAAAAACCCGUCCACUUCUUCCUGAAAACCUGCCCAAUCAGGAGCGAUGGAAUGGUCUACAGUAUGAAAGGCAGCACUUAGAUCAAGAAGAAUUAAAACUGAAGGAAAGCCCAAGUCCGAGCUUAUCAGCAGAUCCUUCACACUCUGACAAGGGCUGUCUCGGUGCUAUGUGCAGCACAAAAACCAGACAUUAACAGCUCAGCUCAUCGCUACCACCCUCACGCUGGAUCAGGAGCGGCAAAGACGAACACACACUGUCCUCCGAAGCAUGUGCUGUCAGCUGACCGCUUCUUUUCACUCUGCAGGCCCGCCAUGCAGCCAACCCAGAGCUACAGCGUCAGAGGACAAUGCAGCUCUGGGCAGCUUACAGGCAAGCCCGCAGACGCCCGGCCAGUCUACAGGGGUUGCUGCUGCGCAGUGAGCUGAGGACACCCUGGCCGACCUAAACAGUUGAGGCAACCUUGACCCCCACCACUUUUACAAUUUUGCCCAAGAGGAGGGAGCUGCUGCCUACAGAGAAGGAGCGAGGAGGGGAGGUCAGGAGACCACCUGCACCAGCAUCAGUUUCGCUGCAAGAUUUUCUGUUUCGGAGCCCAAGAAGAAGGAGCCACCGCAUGGGGGUUGGAUUGUUAUUUAUUUAUUUAUUUAUUUAUUUAUUUAUUAGCAGACACCCUUAUCCAGGGCAAUUUACAAUUGUUACAAAAUAUCACAGUACAAAGUAUUGAAUUAUAAAAUCACAUUACAAGCUCCCCCCUUCUGGGCGCUGGACGCUUGGGCUCCCCCCUCUUUGGCGAUGGAGACAGUGAAGAUGGGCACUCCGGGGAGAUGGGGCACCAACAGUUGACCUCUACCACGCUAAUGAAGGCAUCCCAGCUGCUCUCCCUUUUUUCUGCUGCAGCUGGUACUGGCUGCUUCUGGGGAUGGCCGCUCCUUCCCUUCUUUCUCCUCAGAGCCGGCAGUCGUUCCCCUUAAUACACAAUUUUAACCCACAGGUUACACUCACCCAAACACAACCUCCCAAACAAAGGCUUUUCCCCUCCUUAAAUACCAUGUGGCUGGAGCCUGAUUAACUAUUAAUCAUUCAAUUAAGGCUCCAGCCACAUUCACACAUGUAUUUGGCAGGGAUAGGAAUUAACCCCAUCCCUGCCAACUACCACCACCAAUGCACAAACCAACACUAUUUACACGCAGAGCCCUGCCCUGCCACAGUAUGUUUUCUUUGUAUUUUGUUAUGUCACAUCUCCCAAAUGUUUUUUUUUUUUUUUAAUUUUAACAUGUAUUAACUUUGCCACUUUAAGUGCAAUGCCUGACUUCAGCAUUCUAAGCAUAGUCCCACAUAAAUAAAUAAGAAAUACAAUGGUACCCAGCUCAUGACAAGCUGGUUUGUUGUAAACCUGCCUAAAAAUACAGGGUCAGUUAAAAAUGUUAUUGAAUUACAAAGGUACAAUAUUAUUUUUCUUUUGUAAAUAGUUCCAUAGAUUUGUAUUCCUUAUAGAAAAAAAGGUGGCACAAACUUUGCAAACACUAAAUCUAUCCCUUUCUUUCAACUUCCAGAGUGGUGGGGUUUCCAUGCAGUUUAGAAACUCCAAAUUAUCUCUCUAUUGUCGACAGAAUGUGACGUAGCAGCACAUACCACAUACAAUCCUCAUGCUAUAGGAAGUGUGUGGCCAAAACAUAGUAUGACUUAAAAGUGUGUGUAAAUCACCUUCACACGCUAAAAAGUCACACAAAUUAACAAAAAACUCUUUUUUUUUUUGCAUGGGCAUGUCUGAAAGUCGUACUUUACUUUCACAAGACUUCAGCAAUGAAGCUUCCAUUUGUGACUUUCUACUAUAACUAAAGGCCUCUUCAUUCAGUAUAUUUUUUAUGUGACCGUUUAUUCAGUGUUUCAAAUUACUGCUGUUUGACUCUGGUUAGGAUGGCUUGUGGGUGACCUCAGACCAGGAAAUGAAUGGAAUAACAAAACAAGGUACUGCAGGGAAUGAGACGCUAUUGCACUCCAUCUUUA